rnacentral:lncRNA from 1 species
ACCACAUAGACCAGCGCUCCAUGACAGGGAUCAUAGUGGGUGUGAGCAUCGCUUUGGCCUGUAUUGUUACGUGUGCUUUGAUCCUGAUCAGUAAAGGUCGACCAAGAAAGUCUUCUAGUCAUAAAGUGGUUGCAGUGGGGGCUCCUCAUGGUCCACAUCCUGGACGUCAUGUGACCAGUGAACACGUGGAGGCUCUGGUUCCAAUGAUGUGUGAUCACUGCUUAGAUGCUGAGGUGGGACCUGCUCUCAGAGGUCAUGUGUUAGAUGAUCCUGCUUGGUGUUUCUAAUGUAGUGUGUGAUGUGUAUCAGGGAGGGUCCACUGUGGUCAUCAGCAGCACCAGUCCACCCAGUCACAACCAGAACCAGAGGUGGUUGUUUCUGAACAGGAACGUCACAGGGGCUGAUGUGGAAUCCAGAGCCAACUUUUAUGAAGCUGGAAAAACAGUUCUGAUGUACGAGGAUCGUCCAGGAUCUGCUCCUCUUCCCCCUUCUAUCAUCUAUGGACCACCUCGAUCAGAGAGCUCUCAGAGUAGUGAGGGCAGCCAUGACACAGGAGACUCUGGACACUACUCUAACGAAGAAAGUAACGAGGAGACAAACAACACGUCCACCAAACGAAGCUCCAGACCUCAAUCACUUGGUCCUGAUGUUGUGGAGCUGAAGAAGUCCCUUCAGGUAGAGAGAGACCACUCUUCUCCGGAUCAUUCCUGGCCCCGCUCUGCCCUCAACACCUCCCGAGGUUCAUCCAACCCUAACCCCAACCCUGACCCUAGGAUAGUUCCCUAAUCUUAACCCUAACCCUACGCCACCACUACCUCGUCCCCUUCCCACCUGAAGCCUCUAAAGGAAACGGAGGAACGGCCUCAGACUGAGCUCAGGACUAUGUAUGAAUGUUGAUGAUGGUAUUUUUUGUUACUUCGUCCCCU